CUCUCGGUAGCUCCGUAGAAUUCACCCACCUCACGUAUAUCGAAUCGUUCUACAAAUUCGUGCCAAAUUUGACGUCGCAGCCCAUUCCCGUAUAUGAGGCGAACUUUGUGAUCUUUGUCGCAGUCAGACGGUGGGCGGGCAAGAAGAUAACGGCAUGUCUCGCCUAUGUAUUGAGCCACCUAUUCAAAUUCAAUAUAAAUUGGGAGAAUCUCUACUACUGAUUAUUGAUGAUCUGAAAAUUCUUAUGCACAACUGCCCAAAUAAAUAAAACC